AUGAACGCUGGCGGCGUGUCUAAGGCAUGCAAGUCGAACGAGUUUGUUUUGGUAGCAAUACCGGAACUGACGAGUGGCAAACGGGUGCGUAACACAUUGGCAAUCUGCCUCGAAGUCGGGCAUAACUCCGCGAAAGCGGGAGCUAAUUCCACGAUGGCCAUCUCGAUAGAAUCGUCGAGAUGUAAAGCGCAAAACGCGCUUCGAGAGGAGCCUAUGGCCUAUCAGCUUGUUGGCGGGUGGUAACGGCCCACCAAGGCUAUGACGGGUAGGGGAUGUGAGAGCAUGAUCCCCCUCACUGGGACUGAGACACUGCCCAGACACCUACGGGUGGCUGCAGUCGAGAAUAUUCCCCAAUGGACGAAAGUCUGAGGGAGCGACGCCGCGUGCAGGAUGAAGGGCUUCGGCUCGUAAACGGCUUUUUCAGGGAAGAAUGUUGACGGUACCUGAAGAAUAAGAGGUUGCUAACUCUGUGCCAGCAGCAGCGGUAAUACAGAGACCUCAAGCGUAUCCGGAUUUACUGGGCGUAAAGGGUCCGCAGGCGGCUGUUCACGUCGAUGGUCAAAUCCCCGGGCUCAACCCGGAAACUGCCAUCGAUACGGUUCGGCUAGAGGGUGGGAGAGGUACGCGGAAUUGCCGGUGUAGUAGUAAUAUGCGUUGAUAUCGGCAAGAACACCAAAUGCGAAGGCAGCGUACUGGAACACACCUGACGCUCAGGGACGAAAGCGUGGGGAGCAAAAGGGAUUAGAUACCCCUGUAGUCCACGCCCUAAACGAUGGAUGCUAGAUAUCGGGAGUAUCGACCCUCCCGGUGUCGGUGAAACAAGCUAACGCCUUAAGCAUCCCCGCCUGGGGAGUACGGUCGCAAGACUAAAACUCAAAGGAAUAGACGGGGACCCGCACAAGCAGAGGAGCAUGUGGUUUAAUUCGACGCUAAGCGAAGAACCUUACCUAGGUUUGACAUGGUGCUGCAAGCCACUGGAAAACAGAGGCCGCCUUCGAGGGCGCAUCACAGGUGCUGCAUGGUUGCCGUCAGCUCGUGUCGUGAGAUGUACCGUUAAGUCGGGUAACGAGCGCAACCCCUGUCCCGUGUUGAAUAUUCACGGGAGACCGCCUCGGAUAACGGGGAGGAAGGUGGGGAUGACGUCAAAUCAGCAUGGCUCUUACAUCUAGGGCUACACACGUGCUACAAUCGCGUUGACAAUGGGCUGCCAAGCCGCAAGGCGGAGCUAAUCCCAACAAACAACGCGCCAGUUCGGAUUGGGGGCUGCAAUUCGCCCCCAUGAAGCCGGAUUUGCUAGUAACGGCGGAUCAGCUACGCCGCCGUGAAUACGUUCUCGGGUCUUGUACUCACCGCCCGUCACGUCAAGAGAGUUGGAAACGCCCGAAGGCCGCGUUGAGCGGACGAAGGUGGAGCCAGCGAUAGGGACG
rnacentral:rRNA from 1 species